rnacentral:rRNA from 1 species
ACGGAAGGCAGCAGUGGGGAAUAUUGCGCAAUGGGGGAAACCCUGACGCAGCAACGCCGCGUGAAGGACGAAGGUUUUCGGAUUGUAGACUUCAGCAAGCAGGGAAGAAGAAAGUGACAGUACCUGAACAAAAGCCACGGCUAACUACGUGCCAGCAGCCGCGGUAAUACGUAGGUGGCGAGCGUUGUCCGGAUUUACUGGGUGUAAAGGGCGCGUAGGCGGGUAAAUAAGUCAGAGGUGAAAUACCGGAGCUCAACUCCGGGGCUGCCUUUGAAACUGUAUAUCUUGAGUGCGGGAGAGGAAAGUGGAAUUCCUAGUGUAGCGGUGAAAUGCGUAGAGAUUAGGAGGAACACCAGUGGCGGAGGCGACUUUCUGGACCGUAACUGACGCUGAGGCGCGAAAGCGUGGGGAGCAAACAGGAUUAGAUACCCUGGUA